GACGAACGCUGGCGGCGUGCUUAACACAUGCAAGUCGAACGGAAAGGCCCUGCUUUUGUGGGGUGCUCGAGUGGCGAACGGGUGAGUAACACGUGAGUAACCUGCCCUUGACUUUGGGAUAACUUCAGGAAACUGGGGCUAAUACCGGAUAGGAGCUCCUGCUGCAUGGUGGGGGUUGGAAAGUUUCGGCGGUUGGGGAUGGACUCGCGGCUUAUCAGCUUGUUGGUGGGGUAGUGGCUUACCAAGGCUUUGACGGGUAGCCGGCCUGAGAGGGUGACCGGCCACAUUGGGACUGAGAUACGGCCCAGACUCCUACGGGAGGCAGCAGUGGGGAAUAUUGCACAAUGGGCGGAAGCCUGAUGCAGCAACGCCGCGUGCGGGAUGACGGCCUUCGGGUUGUAAACCGCUUUCGCCUGUGACGAAGCGUGAGUGACGGUAAUGGGUAAAGAAGCACCGGCUAACUACGUGCCAGCAGCCGCGGUGAUACGUAGGGUGCGAGCGUUGUCCGGAUUUAUUGGGCGUAAAGGGCUCGUAGGUGGUUGAUCGCGUCGGAAGUGUAAUCUUGGGGCUUAACCCUGAGCGUGCAUUCGAUACGGGUUGACUUGAGGAAGGUAGGGGAGAAUGGAAUUCCUGGUGGAGCGGUGGAAUGCGCAGAUAUCAGGAGGAACACCAGUGGCGAAGGCGGUUCUCUGGGCCUUUCCUGACGCUGAGGAGCGAAAGCGUGGGGAGCGAACAGGCUUAGAUACCCUGGUAGUCCACGCUGUAAACGGUGGGUACUAGGUGUGGGGUCCAUUCCACGGGUUCCGUGCCGUAGCUAACGCUUUAAGUACCCCGCCUGGGGAGUACGGCCGCAAGGCUAAAACUCAAAGGAAUUGACGGGGCCCCGCACAAGCGGCGGAGCAUGCGGAUUAAUUCGAUGCAACGCGUAGAACCUUACCUGGGUUUGACAUGGAUCGGGAGUGCUCAGAGAUGGGUGUGCCUCUUUUGGGGUCGGUUCACAGGUGGUGCAUGGCUGUCGUCAGCUCGUGUCGUGAGAUGUUGGGUUAAGUCCCGCAACGAGCGCAACCCUUGUUCACUGUUGCCAGCACGUUAUGGUGGGGACUCAGUGGAGACCGCCGGGGUCAACUCGGAGGAAGGUGGGGAUGACGUCAAGUCAUCAUGCCCCUUAUGUCCAGGGCUUCACGCAUGCUACAAUGGCUGGUACAGAGAGUGGCGAGCCUGUGAGGGUGAGCGAAUCUCGGAAAGCCGGUCUCAGUUCGGAUUGGGGUCCGCAACUCGACCUCAUGAAGUCGGAGUCGCUAGUAAUCGCAGAUCAGCAACGCUGCGGUGAAUACGUUCCCGGG
rnacentral:rRNA from 1 species